rnacentral:rRNA from 1 species
AGAGUUUGAUCCUGGCUCAGAUUGAACGCUGGCGGCGUGCUUAACACAUGCAUGUCGAGCGGCAGCGCGGGAGCAAUCCUGGCGGCGAGCGGCGAACGGGUGAGUAAUGCUUCGGAAUCUACCCAGUAGUGGGGAAUAACCAGUCGAAAGACUGGCUAAUGCCGCAUACGACCCACGGGUGAAAGCAGGGGAUCGCAAGACCUUGCGCUAUUGGAUGAGCCGAAGUCGGAUUAGCUAGUUGGUGGGGUAAAAGCCCACCAAGGCGACGAUCCGUAGCUGGUCUGAGAGGACGACCAGCCACACUGGGACUGAGACACGGCCCAGACACCUACGGGUGGCAGC